GACGAACGUUGGCGGCGUGCUUAAUACAUGCAAGUCGACUGAAGCAGUGGUAGCAAUAUCGCUUUGGCGGUGGCGCACGGGUUAGUAACACGUAGGGAAUCUGCCUUCAGGUCUUGCAUAACUCCGAGAAACCUGGGCCAAUAGCAGAUGAUGCAGCGGCUCUACAUCGAGACAGUUGUUAAGGCUAGGGCGCCUGAAGAUGAGCCUGCGUAUGAUUAGCUAGUUGGCGGGUUGUCGGCCCACCAAGGGAACGAUCAUUAGCUGGUCUGAUAGGAUGAUCGGCAAGACUGGAGCUGAGACACGGUCUAGACUACGACGGGAAGCAGCAGUAAGGAAAAUUGCGCAAUGGGAGGAAUCCUGAAGCAGCGACGGAGCCUGAGGGACGACGGGCUGUAGGUUGUAAACCUCUGUGUAAAGAGAAAAAAAUCGUGAUGAUGGGGACAUGACGGUAACUCAAAAGUAAGCCCCGGCUAACUACGUG
rnacentral:rRNA from 1 species